AUUGAACGCUGGCGGCAGGCCUAACACAUGCAAGUCGAGCGGAUGAAGGGAGCUUGCUCCUGGAUUCAGCGGCGGACGGGUGAGUAAUGCCUAGGAAUCUGCCUGGUAGUGGGGGAUAACGUCCGGAAACGGGCGCUAAUGCCGCAUACGUCCUGAGGGAGAAAGUGGGGGAUCUUCGGACCUCACGCUAUCAGAUGAGCCUAGGUCGGAUUAGCUAGUUGGUGGGGUAAAGGCCUACCAAGGCGACGAUCCGUAACUGGUCUGAGAGGAUGAUCAGUCACACUGGAACUGGGACACGGUCCAGACUCCUACGGGAGGCAGCAGUGGGGAAUAUUGGACAAUGGGCGAAAGCCUGAUCCAGCCAUGCCGCGUGUGUGAAGAAGGUCUUCGGAUUGUAAAGCACUUUAAGUUGGGAGGAAGGGCAGUAAGUUAAUACCUUGCUGUUUUGACGUUACCAACAGAAUAAGCACCGGCUAACUUCGUG
rnacentral:rRNA from 1 species